AGACGGAGGUGGCAAACGUUGCUCGGAAUCACUGGGCUUAAAGGGCGUGUAGGCGGUCGAUUUAGUCGGAUGUGAAAUCCCUCGGCUCAACCGAGGAACUGCAUUCGAUACUGGUUGGCUAGAGUGCGGGAGGGGUAAGUGGAACUCCAGGUGUAGCGGUGAAAUGCGUAGAUAUCUGGAGGAACGCCGGUGGCGAAAGCGACUUAAUGGCCCGCAACUGACGCUGAGGCGCGAAAGCUAGGGGAGCGAACGGGAUUAGAUACCCCGGUAGUCC
rnacentral:rRNA from 1 species